rnacentral:tRNA from 4 species
GGCGCCAUAGCCAAGUGGUAAGGCAGAGGACUGCAAAUCCUUUACCCCCAGUUCAAAUCUGGGUGGCGCCUCCA